rnacentral:rRNA from 1 species
AUUAAACGCUGGCGGCAUGCCUUACACAUGCAAGUCGAACGGCAGCACGGGGCAACCUGGUGGCGAGUGGCGAACGGGUGAGUAAAGCAUCGGAACGUGCCCUGGAGUGGGGGAUAACGUAGCGAAAGUUACGCUAAUACCGCAUAUUCUGUGAGCAGGAAAGCAGGGGAUCGCAAGACCUUGCGCUCUGGGAGCGGCCGAUGUCGGAUUAGCUAGUUGGUGGGGUAAAGGCCUACCAAGGCGACGAUCCGUAGCGGGUCUGAGAGGAUGAUCCGCCACACUGGGACUGAGACACGGCCCAGACUCCUACGGGAGGCAGCAGUGGGGAAUUUUGGACAAUGGGCGCAAGCCUGAUCCAGCCAUGCCGCGUGAGUGAAGAAGGCCUCGGUUGUUAAGGUAC